UCCAGAGGAUGCAAGCGUUAUUCGGAAUUACUGGGCGUAAAGGGCUCGUAGGUGGCCAACUAAGUCCGCCGUGAAAUCCCUCAGCUUAACUGGGGAACUGCGUCUGAUACUGGAUGGCUUGAGUUUGGGAGAGGGAUGCGGAAUUCCAGGUGUAGCGGUGAAAUGCGUAGAUAUCUGGAGGAACACCGGUGGCGAAGGCGGCAUCCUGGACCAACACUGACACUGAGGAGCGAAAGCCAGGGGAGCAAACGGG
rnacentral:rRNA from 1 species